rnacentral:rRNA from 1 species
UGGAAUUCCUGUGUACCGGUGAAAUGCGUAGAAAUAUGGAGGAACACCCGUGGUAAGGCGACUUUCUGGUCUGAACUGACCUGAGGCGCUAAAGCGUGUUGAGCAAACCCGUUUAGAUACCCUGGUAGUCCACGCCGUAAACGAUGAGUGCUUUGUGUUACAGGCCUUCCUCCCUUUAGUGCUGAACUUAACGCAUUAUGCACUCCCCCUGGGAAGUACGGCCGCAAGGAUGAAAGGCUAAGGAAUUGACGGGGGCCCGCCCAAGCGGUGGAGCAUGUGGUUUAAUUCGAACCAUCGCCAACAACCUUACCGGGUCUUGACAUCCUCUGACAACCCUAGAGAUAGGGCUUCUCCUUCGGGAGCAGAGUGACAGGUGGUGCAUGGUUGUCGUCAGCUCGUGUCGUGAGAUGUUGGGUUAAGUCCCGCAACGAGCGCAUCCCUUGAUCUUAGUUGCCAUCAUUUACUUGGGCACUCUAAGGUGACUGCCGGUGACAAACCGGAGGAGGGAGGGGAUGACGUCAAAUCAUCAUGCCCCUUAUGACCUGGGCUACACGCGUGCUAAAACGGACGGUACCCAGAGCUGCUAAGACCGCGAGGUGCAGCUAAUCUCAUAAAGCCGUUCUCAGCUCGGAUUGUACGCUGCAACUCGCCUACAUGAAGCUGGAAUCGCUAGUAAUCGCGGAUCUCUUGCGGCGGAGAAUUACGUACUCUGGCACUUGUACUCACCGCCGGUCACACGCGAGUAGUUUGUAACACCUCAGAAGUCGCGGGUAGCCCUUUGGACCAG